GACACGCUGGCGGCGUGCCUAACACAUGCAAGUCGAACGCGUCUGUGCUUCGGCACAGAUGAGUGGCGAACGGGUGAGUAACGCGUGAGUAACUCCCCUUGGGGAGGGGGAUAACCAUCUGAAAAGGUGGCUAAUACCCCAUAUUCUCUUUUCUCAUAAGAGGAAGGAGGAAAGGUGGCGCAAGCUGCACCCCGAGAGAGGCUCGCGUCCCAUCAGCUAGUUGGUAGGGUAAUGGCCUACCAAGGCUAUGACGGGUAGCUGGUCUGAGAGGAUGGUCAGCCACACUGGGACUGAGACACGGCCCAGACUCCUACGGGAGGCAGCAGUGAGGAAUCUUGGGCAAUGGGCGAAAGCCUGACCCAGCGACGCCGCGUGGAGGAAGAAGGCCUUCGGGUCGUAAACUCCUGUUUGGGGAGAAGAACAAGAGAGAAGUUAAUAGCUUCUCUCUCUGACGGUAUCCCCGGAGAAAGCUCCGGCUAAUUACGUG
rnacentral:rRNA from 1 species